rnacentral:lncRNA from 1 species
GAAAAAAUCUUCUAGGAGCAGCUAACAAGAAUCCUAAUACAGGAGUGUUUAUGGUUGGGUUGAGACACAUUCAGUAGCUGAGUGAUUGACAGCAAGAGGAGCAAGACAUGAGGUUAAUAAUUAUCAAAUAUAUGGCAAUGCUGGACUUUAGCUGAUCAUCGUGCUUCUGGAAAACAACAAAAAUUGAGAUAUCUGUUCACCACUUUGUGUGUCCAAGGACCACCUACUUUUUACAUGUGACAAGAACUACCCACCUCCACUCUUCAGAACAUGCUGAAGAAAAGAGUUGCAAUGAGAAAAUAUAUGGGAACAAAAUACCUAUGCAAUGCAGAAGUCUGCAUAACUGAACCACUCAGAGGAAAAAGUUUCCCUCCCAGGCUGGAGUACAAUGGCGCGACCUCGGCUCACUGCAACUUCCACCUCCCAGUUCAAGCAAUUCUCCCACCUCAGCUUCCUUAGUAGCUGGGAUUACAAGUGCCUGACACCAGGCCAAGCUAUUUUUGUAUUUUUAGUAGAGACGGGGUUUCACCAUUUUGACCAGGCUGGUCUCAAACUCCUGACCUCAGUCCAUCGGUCCACCUCGGCCUCCCAAAGUGCUGGGAUUGCAGGCAUGAGCCACCGCUCCUGGCCUCAAGUUUAAUUCUUAAAUUGCCAUUUCAGGACACCUCCUACAUCUGAGGAAAUAUGCAUUGAUCUUGCAGUACUUUUCUCCUCCAAAUAAAAGUCAGUAUGAUAACAACUACACUAUCAGAAGUGAGUUUAUGGGUAGCGUUAACCACCUUGUUUAUCAUCCAAACUGGGACACUUAUGGUACUUCAUUGCAGCAGGCAUAAAUUGAGACUUUUCCG